GUACAGUUUUUCAUUAGUUUUACAAAUUUAUGGUGUUAGUUAAUUCUGUAGCAACUGAAACUUUAAAAUAAUUUUAUGCUUUGAACAAAAUUGAAAAGUUCCUGUUUAGUAAACUUGGUUUCAUGUUGUGAAACAUACCACUGAAAGUUAAGUGUAACUGAUACAACACCUGAAAUUAAUUAUGUAGCAAAUUUGUAAUGACAUUUAAGAGUAUUUGACAGUAGCCCCUCUUUUCUUUUUGCUAGAGCACAUUCAUAACAAUUCACUAAAGCCCGAUAUGGUGGUGUACACUGUAAUCCCAGCUGCUCUCCAGGCUGAAGCAGGAGAAUAAUACAGUAGCUUCCUACUGUGGACAGCAUGCAUAUAAUUUUGUAUUUUCUAACACCAUUCCAAACAAGAAGCCAAAAUAUUGAUAAAUUUGAGUCCACAAAAGUUUUUUUUUUAAUUAUAUACUACAAUAUCAUAAAGUCAAAAGAUAAACUAUACACAGAAAAUCUUUAGAGCAUGAAUGAAAAAGGAUAAUUUCUAUAAUCUAUGAACUAACAAGAUAAAAUUUUAAAUUCCAGUAGAAAAAUGGACCACAGUCAAUUUAUUGAAGAAGAAAUACAGAUGGCUAAUAUACAAAAUGAGUGGAGCAUAGUGGCAUGCACUUAUAACCCCAGCACUCUGAGAGGCAGGAGGAUAGCAAGUUCAAGCCCAACCUAGGUGAUUUAGCCAAUCCCUGUCUCAAAAAACAAGGGAGGGAGGGGUGAUAUAGCUGUGUCCAAAGGCCCCAAGUUCAAUCUCCAGUCCUGUGAAAAAUUUAAAUUUAAAAGUAUAUAUAUGGAGGGUGGGGGAUUUAGCUCAGUGGUUCCUCCGCCUGCCUCACAAACGGAAGGACCCGAGUUUGAUCCCAGGUACCAAAAAAAAAAAAGAGAGAACCGUGAUAAAAGUAUAUAUAUGGAGUGCUCAACUUCACUUGCCACUAAGAAAUACAAAUUAAACGCCACUUUUCCUACCAUGUUGGAAGAGAUUUGCAUUUUUGACAAUUCUCAGUCUUGAUGAGCUAAGGACUCUCAUCUACUUUUGGAGGGAUUGUAAAUUGUUGAAAGAGAGGCAGGGUGGCAAAUACCUGUAAUCCUAGCACUGGGGAAGAUGCUGUGUUUAAAGUCAACCUAGGCUAGUAGAAAAACCUUGCCUCAAAAAAAGAGAAAAAGAAAGGACUGAAGAAAAUUAUGAAAGUAUCUUAAAAGAGUAAGUUAUAAAAUUGUCCAGGGCCAGGGAUGUAGCUCAGUGGUGCCACACCUGUGUGGCAUGCGCAAGGUCCUGAGUUCAAUUUCCAGUACCAGAAAGAAUGAAU
rnacentral:lncRNA from 1 species